rnacentral:rRNA from 1 species
ACGAACGCUGGCGGCGUGCUUAACACAUGCAAGUCGAACGGUGAAGGGGUCUGCUUUUGUGGGCCCUGGAUGAGUGGCGAACGGGUGAGUAACACGUGAGUAACCUGCCCCCUUCUUCUGGAUAACCGCAUGAAAGUGUGGCUAAUACGGGAUAUUCUGGGUCUGUCGCAUGAUGGGUCUGGGAAAGAUUGCGCCUUUGGGUGUUUUUGGUGGGGGAUGGGCUCGCGGCCUAUCAGCUUGUUGGUGGGGUGAUGGCCUACCAAGGCGGUGACGGGUAGCCGGCCUGAGAGGGUGGACGGUCACACUGGGACUGAGACACGGCCCAGACUCCUACGGGAGGCAGCAGUGGGGAAUAUUGCACAAUGGGCGCAAGCCUGAUGCAGCGACGCCGCGUGAGGGAUGGAGGCCUUCGGGGUGUAAACCUCUUUCGCCAGUGAAGCAGGCCUGCUCCUUGUGGGUGGGUUGACGGUAGCUGGAGAAGAAGCGCCGGCUAACUACGUG